rnacentral:tRNA from 1 species
CGGGGAUGGUGGCGCGGGGGAGCAUGCCCCAGUGCUACCAGUACCGGGCGCGAAGGUCGAACGGCUUUCCCGCCGGUUCCGGUCCCCCUAUCCGGGU